AUACGUAGGGGGCGAGCGUUGUCCGGAAUGAUUGGGCGUAAAGGGCGCGUAGGCGGCCCGGUAAGUCUGGAGUGAAAGUCCUGUUUUUAAGAUGGGAAUUGCUUUGGAUACUGUCGGGCUUGAGUGCAGGAGAGGUAAGUGGAAUUCCCAGUGUAGCGGUGAAAUGCGUAGAGAUUGGGAGGAACACCAGUGGCGAAGGCGACUUACUGGACUGUAACUGACGCUGAGGCGCGAAAGUGUGGGGAGCAAAUAGGAUUAGAUACCCUGGUAGUCCACACUGUAAACGAUGAAUGCUAGGUGUAGGGGGUAUCGACCCCUUCUGUGCCGCAGUCAACACAAUAAGCAUUCCGCCUGGGGAGUACGGCCGCAAGGUUGAAACUCAAAUGAAUUGGCGGGG
rnacentral:rRNA from 1 species